rnacentral:tRNA from 1 species
GUGCUUGUGGCUCAAUUGGAUAGAGUAUCAGACUACGGAUCUGAGGGCUGAGAGUUCGAAUCUUUCCAGGCACG